rnacentral:misc_RNA from 1 species
GUUUUUUUUCUUUGUUAAUUCCUUUCUGUGGACUGACUUGAAGAACAAGGAAAUAUGAGGUGGAAAACAAAAUUGGUUUGGAUCAAAUUUUGAAAAACUUUGUCUCUGAAGGAGGAAGGAGAAGAAGAAAGAACUUUUGUUGAAAGUUGAAACCCAUAUGGUUUUGAUGGAUUCACAAAGCAAUAACCAAGAAAACAUCAACAGUAGCAGCACUAAAGAUCGCCACCACCUUCACCAUGGCCAAAAACAAGAAUCAGGAGACGCAGCAGCUGCUGCGGCUACCACCACCACUACUUCUCAGGGCCCAUUCAUGGGCUCCAUCUCC